rnacentral:rRNA from 1 species
GACGAACGCUGGCGGCGUGCUUAACACAUGCAAGUCGAACGAUGAAGCCGGAGCUUGCUCUGGUGAAUUAGUGGCGAACGGGUGAGUAACACGUGAGUAACCUGCCCUUGACUCUGGGAUAACUGCGGGAAACUGUAGCUAAUACCGGAUACGACCCUCGGAGGCAUCUCCUGGGGGUGGAAAGAAUUUCGGUCAAGGAUGGACCCGCGGCCUAUCAGCUAGUUGGUGAGGUAAAGGCUCACCAAGGCGACGACGGGUAGCCGGCCUGAGAGGGUGACCGGCCGAACUGGGACUGAGACACGGCCCAGACUCCUACGGGAGGAAGCAGUGGGGAAUAUUGCACAAUGGGGGCAAGCCUGAUGCAGCAACGCCGCGUGAGGGAUGACGGCCUUCGGGUUGUAAACCUCUUUUAGCAGGGAAGAAGCGAAAGUGACGGUACCUGCAGAAAAAGCACCGGCUAACUACGUGCCAGCAGCCGCCGUAA